UUCUUUCCUAACUCAUCUAUCGCCUUCCCUUUCUCAAUUUCUAGCUUUUUAUUAUUUUAUUUUCACCGUAAAAACCCUACCUCCGUUUAAGUAUUUUUACUCCAGAUCACCGCUACCCUUUCCGAUUGAUCUGAGACCCAUAACUCAUGUCAGGGCUCUGCCCGACUAAGUUCGUUGGGAUUCGAUCUCAGGACAUCGGGACAAGGUUUAAUUAGGGUACUAUACUUACCACGAGGGCAUUAUAUAUUUUUAAUAGCCCAAAAGUUAUACCCAAAAUUUAUACCAUGAGAUUUUCUAAUUGAACCCUAAAGUUAUAAGGUGUGUCCAUUCUCUUUUUCUCACCAUUUUAUUCCUUUUUAUCCCAAACCAUAACAACUCUCACCAAAACUAUUAUUUAUUAUUCUAUUUUGUAAACAACUCUCAUCAAAAGUCAUAUCUAUUAUUUUAUUUGCCCAAUAGGAAACCCUAAUUGAGACACCCAUAUAAUCCUGCACAACUCCUAAAAUUUUCAGAAUCCUCAGAAUCAGGAUCAGGGCCCCUAAAACUCAAGGGGGGUAAACCUUAAUUGACGAUUAUCUUCAAAACUCGUUGUCCAAAUUUAAAUUUCGUUCGACGUCGACUCAGCAGGGCUACCCAGGUGACAAGCCUACUCUAGGCUAGGGGGACUUGCCCCGCGACACGCGGCAAGUGCCGAGAAUUCUUCCGCGACUCGCGGGAGGCUCCAAAAGUGGGUAUAAAUAGGGGGCCUAGUAUUUGAAAUCUGGUGCUAGUUCGACGUAAAAUUUCGAAAUAUACGUUGAGUUAUACGUUUAUUACUACAAACACACACUAGCUCGAAUUCUGCUACGAUACAGGGUAUUAACUUAAUCGCUGCUACGAUUCAAUAUCCGAUCGACUGAAACUAUUCGACAGAAUGUUUAAGUGUUAUCCUUUGUCAUUAAUCGUGAUUCCGACAGGAUGUUUGAGUGCCGCCCAAACUCGGGGUAGACUCUGUCAUGCGUUGUGAAUCCGAUGGAUGUUUAAGUGAUUGCACUUUGUCAUUCUUCGUGAGGGUUUUAAUCUCGUGAAUUUAUCGUAAAUGCUGUAUUAGUUAUUUACCUAGUUUCGGAUGCAUUAUCACUUAAAUUAGGUUAUCAGGCUUGUCCAUAGGUUAAACUCUACCCCAUACACUUACAAUCAAAGUAGAUGCUAAUUCGCAGAAGAAUCUGAAUCAUGAAGCUUGUUAAUUCAAUACUGCAUGUUUAUAAUGUAAUUACAGUAGAUUGGAGUAAGAGUUGGAUCCGGCACUGAAGGGCUUCAAGAAGUGGCUUAUUUUAUUAAUUAAAUCAAAUUAAGAAAUAUUGUUUUAUGUAAAUGGGUUUAUCCCUUAUUAAAGCUACCUUUGUAAAACAUGGGUUUAUCCCAUCUAUUUAAUAAAUAAAAUCCGGUGUU
rnacentral:lncRNA from 1 species